rnacentral:rRNA from 1 species
UACAGAGGGUGCAAGCGUUGUCCGGAUUUACUGGGCGUAAAGAGCGUGUAGGCGGCCAAGCAGGUCCGUUGUGAAAACUGGAGGCUUAACCUCCAGACGUCGACGGAAACCGCGUGGCUAGAGUCCGGAAGAGGAGAGUGGAAUUCCUGGUGUAGCGGUGAAAUGCGCAGAUAUCAGGAAGAACACCAAUGGCGAAGGCAGCUCUAUGGGACGGUACUGACGCUGAGACGCGAAAGCGUGGGGAGCGAACAGG